UACGUAGGGUGCAAGCGUUGUCCGGAAUUAUUGGGCGUAAAGGGCUCGUAGGCGGUUUGUCGCGUCGGGAGUGAAAACCUCGGGCUUAACUCGGGGCUUGCUUUCGAUACGGGCAGACUAGAGGUAUGCAGGGGAGAACGGAAUUCCUGGUGUGGCGGUGAAAUGCGCAGAUAUCAGGAGGAACACCGAUGGCGAAGGCAGAUCUCUGGGCCAUUACUGACGCUGAGGAGCGAAAGCGUGGGGAGCGAACAGG
rnacentral:rRNA from 1 species